rnacentral:rRNA from 1 species
UGAGCCAGGAUCAAACUCUUACGGGAGGCAGCAGUGAGGAAUAUUGGUCAAUGGGCGAGAGCCUGAACCAGCCAAGUAGCGUGAAGGAUGACUGCCUAUGGGUUGUAAACUUCUUUUAUAAAGGAAUAAGUCGGGUAUGGAUACCCGUUUGCAUGUACUUUAUGAAUAAGGAUCGGCUAACUCCGUGCCAGCAGCCGCGGUAAUACGGAGGAUUCGAGCGUUAUCCGGAUUUAUUGGGUUUAAAGGGAGCGUAGAUGGAUGUUUAAGUCAGUUGUGAAAGUUUGCGGCUCAACCGUAAAAUUGCAGUUGAUACUGGAUAUCUUGAGUGCAGUUGAGGCAGGCGGAAUUCGUGGUGUAGCGGUGAAAUGCUUAGAUAUCACGAAGAACUCCGAUUGCGAAGGCAGCCUGCUAAGCUGCAACUGACAUUGAGGCU